rnacentral:tRNA from 1 species
GGCCUGGUAGCUCAGUGGUAGAGCGAAAGACUGAAAAUCUUUGCGUCGGUGGUUCAAUUCCGCCCCGGGCCACCA